rnacentral:rRNA from 1 species
AACGAACGCUGGCGGCAUGCCUAAUACAUGCAAGUCGAACGCAGUGGCGGACGGGUGAGUAACACGUGGGUAACCUGCCCUGCACUUCGGGAUAAGCCAGGGAAACUGGGCCUAAUACCGGAGAGUGUGGGAUGGGCCCGCGGCCUAUCAGCUUGUUGGUGGGGUAAUGGCCGACCAAGGCGGCGACGGGUAGCCGGACUGAGAGGGGUGACGUCCGCAUUGCGACUUGGAGAUGGCCCAGUCUCCGACGUGGGGCAGCGGUGGGGAAGAUUGCACAAUCGGCGGAAGCCUGAUGCAGCGACGCCGCGUGUGGGAUGUCGGCCUUCUGGUGGUAAACGCCUUUCAGCUUCGAUCCGGUAGAUGGAGAAGAAGCACCGGCUAACUCCGUGCCAGCAGCCGCGGUAAUUC